GCGGCCUAUCAGCUUGUUGGUGAGGUAAUGGCUCACCAAGGCAACGACGGGUAGCCGGCCUGAGAGGGCGACCGGCCACACUGGGACUGAGACACGGCCCAGACUCCCACGGGAGGCAGCAGUGGGGAAUAUUGGGCAAUGGAGGAAACUCUGACCCAGCGACGCCGCGUGCGGGAUGAAGGCCUUCGGGUUGUAAACCGCUUUCAGUAGGGAAGAAGCGAAAGUGACGGUACCUACAAAAGAAGCACCGGCUAACUAUGUGCCAGCAGCCGCGGUAAUACAUAGGGUGCAAGCGUUGUCCGGAAUUAUUGGGCGUAAAGAGCUCGUAGGUCGUUUGUUACGUCGGAUGUGAAAACCUGAGGCUCAACCUCAGGCCUGCAUUCGAUACGGGCAAACUAGAGUUUGGUAGGGGAGACUGGAAUUCCU
rnacentral:rRNA from 1 species